GACGAACGCUGGCGGCGUGCCUAAUACAUGCAAGUAGAACGCUGAAGGAGGAGCUUGCUUCUCUGGAUGAGUUGCGAACGGGUGAGUAACGCGUAGGUAACCUGCCUGGUAGCGGGGGAUAACUAUUGGAAACGAUAGCUAAUACCGCAUAAUAGUAGAUGUUGCAUGACAUUUGCUUAAAAGGUGCAAUUGCAUCACUACCAGAUGGACCUGCGUUGUAUUAGCUAGUUGGUGAGGUAACGGCUCACCAAGGCGACGAUACAUAGCCGACCUGAGAGGGUGGUCGGCCACACUGGGACUGAGACACGGCCCAGACUCCUACGGGAGGCAGCAGGAGGGAAACUUCGGCAAUGGACGGAAGUCUGACCGAGCAACGCCGCGUGAGUGAAGAAGGUUUUCGGAUCGUAAAGCUCUGUUGUAAGAGAAGAACGAGUGUGAGAGUGGAAAGUUCACACUGUGACGGUAUCUUACCAGAAAGGGACGGCUAACUACGUG
rnacentral:rRNA from 1 species